CACCGCGGUUAUACGAGAGACCCGAGUUGAUAGACAUCGGCGUAAAGAGUGGUUAAGGCAGAACUAAUACUAAAGCCGAAUGUGUACAAAGCUGUUAUACGCACUCGAAAAUAAGAAGCCCAAUUACGAAAGUAGCUUUACAUCUCCUGAACCCACGAAAACUAUGACA
rnacentral:rRNA from 1 species